CCUUUCCUCGUGACCAGUUGAGGAGAGGAAGGAAGGGCCACAGCCUGCUCUGUGUUUGCCAGAGCAGGCUCUUUGGUAGGUCUCUUCGGUUUGAAUGGUGGUUUAGGAUCCAUGAGAACAGUUCCAGAGGACCCAUGCGUGCUCUGGCGUUUCACCCGCCCCUCAGGCUUUCUGUGCCCCAGCAGCCUUUGGGUUGAGCAGGCUGAGCCACCUGGUGAUCACCCUUCCCUGACUUCAUCACAAAUCCUCAGGCUGCCCUCCUCUUUUUCUGAAGCCUCAUUAUCUGGUUUGGAGACAUGAACUUUCGGAUCGAGGACUUUGGGUUGCACUUUGUUCGGGAAUCCAUUAAAAAUCGGUGCUACAGUGGCCUGUGGGAGAAGGACCAGCUCAGCAUUGCCAAGAAACAUGACCCGCUGCUCCGGGAGUUCCAGGAGGGCCGCCUACUCUUCCCGCCCACCUACAAAUUUGAUAGGAACUCCAACGACUAUGACACCAGUGAGAAAAAACGCAAGCCUGCAUGGACCGAUCGCAUCCUGUGGAGGCUGAAGCGGCAGCCCU
rnacentral:sRNA from 1 species